rnacentral:rRNA from 1 species
AGUGAACGCUGGCGGUAGGCCUAACACAUGCAAGUCGAACGGCAGCACAGUAAGAGCUUGCUCUUACGGGUGGCGAGUGGCGGACGGGUGAGGAAUACAUCGGAAUCUACUUUUUCGUGGGGGAUAACGUAGGGAAACUUACGCUAAUACAGCAUACGACCUACGGGUGAAAGCAGGGGAUCUUCGGACCUUGCGCGAUUGAAUGAGCCGAUGUCGGAUUAGCUAGUUGGCGGGGUAAAGGCCCACCAAGGCGACGAUCCGUAGCUGGUCUGUGAGGAUGAUCAGCCACACUGGAACUGAGACACGGUCCAGACUCCUACGGGAGGCAGCAGUGGGGAAUAUUGGACAAUGGGCGCAAGCCUGAUCCAGCCAUACCGCGUGGGUGAAGAAGGCCUUCGGGUUGUAAAGCCCUUUUGUUGGGAAAGAAAAGCAGCAGGUUAAUACCCCGCUGUUCUGACGGUACCCAAAGAAUAAGCACCGGCUAACUUCGUG